CCUCUGGGAAAGCGGAAGGAGCCCGGAGAAGGCUGGGGCCAACUCCACGUUUAAAGGGAAUCAUAGGACUAUGCCAGACUUGAGACAUAAAGACAUUAAAAGCAUUGGAAUUCUACCUCUAGUGCAGGAAACAGACACCAGAUUCCAACUGAGGAAGUCCUGUGUUUCCCAGAAAUCAGUUAUUGGAACUGUGACGUGGAGCUGUUUCACCUGGGUCCCAUGACGAUGUGGCUACCGAUGCAAGCCAGGGGGACUUAAGAGAACAGAUGGACUUGAGAUGGAGAAAGUCAACUU